UCUCUUAUAUAUAAACGAGGGUGUGAAGUACACUUUCCCAGAAAUGACCACGAGGCAGCAGAAGCCAAGAGCUUAAUGUUGAGCACAGACAACUUAAGGCCUGCUGCUCUGGGGCUUUCAGAUGCUAAUUGAGUUGCUGGAUCAUUUCAUUUACAGGUAUCUCACAGCUGGCUCUGGUUCUUUUAUUAGCUUGCUUUUAAGGGUUGUGGUGGGCAAAGCUUUAAAUUUUCCUUAAAUGUUAAAAAGGCUGCUAUUAGAUGAUACAGAAAAAUGCUUGAUGUUACAGAGGAAAGUAAUAGCUUAUAAGAUGGGAGGUUGGACUGGAGACCCCCUAUUGUGGUUACUGAGAAAGAAAUUGAAAAGAUGGGCUUCAGGUCUUCGUGUAUGGAACGAGAUGGAAGGAGGCCCAAAUUUCUGGAAUGCAGAAGAUUAGUAAAUAUUAUGAUCAGAAGCCUCGUAGGAGAAGGAAGAACGUACAUUGGUCUGUCUCCAUGGGACAGUGAAGUAGACUGUCUAGGUCCCACUGCCUGUGUUUUGAUUCAUUGCUGGGAUGAAAAUGAAUGAUGCUGGGAUGAGAAUGAAUGAUGCUGCCAUGUUCUGGCCUCCAUGGGAAGGAAACAUGGAAUUCUGUGCUGAAAGGAAAGGACAUGGAUCUGAGCGAAAGGAUGUUGGUAUUAAGACCCACCAGAACCAGUUUUUAUAGGUAGUUUGGAUAGAUGAUGGGAUUCCCCAGUACUUCAUCCAGUACUUCAGAAUAACCUGUUCCAGCGUCUGACCACGCUCAUCAGCAAUAAUUUCUUCCUUAAGUAAUUGCUACCAGCAUCUCACAGAGCAAGCCAGUAUAAAAAGAGACAGUAAGACAGAGUGAUGAAACAACCUGCAGUUACUUGUGCUGAUUCACAACGACUGAGAGAGUUUUCAGCUGUCUGGUCUUUCUCCUCCUUGAAAUGUUAGGAGUGUUAGGAGUGCUAAUAUCUAUAGUAAUGAACGCUUGUAUUUUUUUUUUUCUGCUUAGAAAUCUGGAUGCUGAGCACUUAAGAUGCUGUUGUCUCUACUCUCUCAGCAGAAAGAGAACUGGAGGUACCAACAGGGACAGGGCUGCUGUGUGGGAUCUCUGCCUCCCAGGCUCUCAGUUAUGCCAUUCUCUCUUGAAAGUCUUGGAGCCUGGCCUAAAUCUGUUUUAGGCAUCCUUGAGGUGUGACAAAGCCUAUAGACCCAUGAAAUAUUGCUGAUAGCAUUAAUACUUAUUUGAAAGAUGAAGUUGGCAAGUGUUAAGGUUGGACUAAUGCAACUGUGGUUACACUGGAGGCUUGGCAGGCAGAGGGGAUCUGCCCAGCAAGGCUCCUGGCCUUCUCCUGCUGCAACAGGCCCCUAUGGUUUUAGAAGAAGGAGGCUGUAGUCAUCUUCAAGUCCAUUGGAGUGGCUGUUACCAGAGAUGAACAGUGGUAUUGCAUCCUCCCACCAGUUUCCAUCCUUGGAGCCCCUGAGGGUAAAGAUAAGCCUUAGCUUUGUGUAACGUUUGGACCCAGCUACUACCUCAUGGACGAAAAGCAACUCUCUGAAGCUGAGCUCCAGCAAUGCAGAAGAGCUGAUGGGCGUGAGGAAGGAACUGACUGUGCUACUGCCCUGCUGCUCCAUUGUCAGCAUCCACACAUCCACAGCUAGUCCAUUGAGUUGGUGGGCUACGAAUACUCUUGAAAUUGUUUUGGUGAUUAACUCUUCUCUGAUAGUGCCCCAUUAUCUCUGACUGAUUGAGAGAUGAAGUAUCAUCUUCCUGGGCAGAGUCCUGGUCUUGGUUACGGGGACAUUUGUUUGGUCUUGGCUUGACAACAGCAGUGAUAUGUGUGAGUUGGGAGCCUGCCAGCAAAGGAAGCUUCAGGCAGACCAGAAAGCUGCAGCCUACCUGCUCUGUGGUGUUGGCAGCUUGUCUUCCUAUACUGGCUUUUGCUGGAAAUACAGAUAGAGUUUUGAGGUCUCUUGUUCUCUUUUCAAAGUGCUCCAUGUAUCAUCUCAGCUAACAGAAAGACUGCUGAAAUCUUUCUACCAAAGACUACAGCAGUUUUCUGCAAGGAAAUGGAGCUCUGCUCUCUGAGAGUUCGUUUCCAUUCUGGGUUGUCCAGACCCUCUUUCUGAUAAAGAGCACCACAAAACUCUUCAUAUUCUGCUCCAAAGUGCAAGGUAUGCUAUCCCAGUUGUGCUUUUCCUAAAUAUAUAGCCAUGUUUCAUACAACAUUUAAAGAUAGUUAAAGAACACACAAGCAAAACCAGGCCCUCCACUGCUCGGUUGGAAGAAAGAAAAAUAACAUGUAUCAGAUAUUGGUUCAUUAUUUAACACAUUACCUGAAAGAUAAUCUGGUGAUGACCUCAGUGUUCAAACUGAGCACUGAGGAAAAUAUGCUUGACUGGAAUUCUAAUUGUGCCAUAUUGGAAUGUUGAAAAAAAAUUAAGGAAAUAAAAAGAAAGGCAUGUGUACCCAAACAUCCCUAAAUUUUACCCUCCCUUUCUGCUCUUCACCUGUUCCAAACUAAGGUUAGUUACCAGGAUUUUUCUGUAGAGAAAAGAUUAACACUCUGUCACAUUAGCUGGUCAAAGCAGGCCAUUUUAUUUUACUGACGUAUUAAAACUUAAAUUAUUAUUCUUUCUUUUUUCAUGUUACCUCCUUUAUCACCUUGUGGAAGGACUGGUAGAAGUUAACUCAUUAAUAAUUUUUGAUUGCCUUCUGUUUUGUGUGUCCCAAAAUGUGGCAUUUUAACAAAUGGGCACGCAGAACAGGAGUCAUGAAGUCAGGAUCCAAUGGACAUUGCAGCCACGUUAGUUAGGGGUUGUUCUCCGCGUGGUUUGAUGGAUGUGGUGAUUCUGAUGUGGGUUCCUUCUUACUGCUGGUUGUUUAAAUAAUGGAGGAUCUUUACAGCAUCUUCAUUAGUGGUUUAAGUGGGAAUUUGGAGAACGGGGGUGGGUGGGCCUUUGCUCAAACUCUGUUGUGGUUCACCCCUUUCCGGAUUCCUUUUUAAAGCAAGAUUUUUAGGACUAUAUGAGGAAAUGAUGGUAUCUCCUUUGGCAUAUUUCUUGCUUCACUUCAGCCUGCCUUAUUUGCUUUUACUUUCUAACUAUAUCUUGGUUUAUGCCUUAGGUCAUUGGGUUUCUGGAACAGUAACUGUCCUUUCUGUUCUAUUUUUAUUUAUCAUCAAGCAGAGACACAUUUGGUUUCUCCAGCUUUUGGUGGUGCUUUAUAUGUGGUGCUGUAAGCAAUAUCAACAACUAAUGGUGCUAACAGUCCUCAUGAGGAUCUGUGGCUGUCUGUGCACACAUGAUGGAGAUGUUGCAGCUGUAAACAUGCUGCUCUGCUGUGAAUAUUUUUACAUGGCUUCUGCGUUCUUUCUUCUGUAGGUGAAAGUAAAUGGGAGUUAGCCUGGUACAAGAAGUGUGCAGAAAUAAUCCCUGUGCAGGUGAAAGCUACGCUGACCUGUCAGAAGCAAUGACUUCAUCACCACUUCUGUGUUCAGUCUUACGGCAAUGUAGAUAAAACACAGUGUGGUUCUUCUACUUGUGUCCCAGCUCUGUGCCUUCAACCACUCUGGAGUAAUGUUGGGAGGAGCUCUCAGUGAUCCUUUCCAUAGCUUCCAAGGAUUUUUAGGAUUAUGGGAUUUACGGACCUGCAAAAUCCUCUGGAGAACAUCAGCCACCCACAAAACCAUCUGGAAUUUCCUGCCAUCUUUUUGCCCUAUCUUUCCUGGGUCACUGAGUGUUGGGAAGGAAGCACCUCUGCUCUGAGGAUUACAGCAAAUCAGUCGUUUGCCAUCCUUACUGGAAUACCUUCCAUUUCAGUUGCUUGGAACAGAGCAAUUAUUGCAGAAGGCAGAAGGAUAUUUUUUCCCUUUCACUGAGCUUUUGCAGUGCAGCAGUGGCCGUGUCUGGGAUGCUGCUGCGUCACUUGCAUUCUUCACCCCUCCUGCCUUGUUGGGAAGGAGCAACCCUCCGAAGCUGGCGCAACAAGAGCAAGAUAGACGCUUAAUUUCCUUCUACAAAAUCCAUGGCAAAGCCCAGGGAUGGGUUGUUUUUCGGGAGCAGUGAUUUUGCUACAUGCUGUUAGUGCAGCUCAUCUACUCUUGCUGCAGGUCUCGCUUGACUGAAAAAAGGAGAAAGGAGGAGUGUGCGCAGGGAGUUCAGGUCCUGCCGUGGCUACUUGGGAAGUGAGAAGACAGCAGAAAGCCACAAAACUGGAACCUCAGUAAUUUCUUUACACCCACCAUUUGCCAGUAUUCUGGAUUGGAAACCAACCACAGCAGCUACUGACAAUUUCAUUCCUCCUCCAUGUGAACCUCCUUCCAGGGAACUGUGAUAAUUCCCACCUUUGUCUCCUUCGCAGACUGGUGUUUCAUGACCAUUAAAACCUCUUCCUGGAACCAUGGGAUGGCUCCACAGCAUGUUUCUGAUUCAGGUCAGAUGUGGGCUUCUCCGUGGGAUGAGAGCCCAGCAAGUCCAGCCAUCAAAACCUACCUAGACCCUAUGGAGCUGCGUGCUCUGAUUCGUCCCUACCGAAAGGUCCUCACACGCUGCCCCAGGGCUGUGCAUUCCUGGGCGCUGGUUGCCUGUGCCUCAUCAAGUCUUUCCACCAAACUCAUCACUUUGGCUUGGUUCUGUAUCACCACACUGACACUGUGCAAGCUGCAAGCCACCAAACUGUACCUUUGAACCACCUCAUGGGGCACAUGUCUCACAGUGGCUUGGCUGCUGGACCACACAGGGUGGGAUGCCCGGCACACUGUGAGGUAGAGCACUGAGCUGGGAGAACAGCAUCCCUAAUUCAGGUUGAUGCGUGGCUGUGUUGGAGCUCUUUCUGCAAACCACUUCAAAGGGCGUUUUGGUGUUUUGUCUCUUCAUUCACUGUUCACAAGUGUUUUCCCACUUGUGCAUUUUGUGCUAUUUUAAAAACUUCUUGCAUGUAUUCCGUUCUUCUUAUCCUAGAUUAAGUGGCUAUGUUCUCUUCUUUCUUAGCUGGUUGGUUCAUGCAGAGGCAGGGAGUAGCAAAACAUAUUUUUCCUUCUGAAAAGAGAUAAAAUAAAUAUGUUUGAUACCUGAAAAUAGUUUUUGCUGUUUGUCUGAGGCAGCUUGAAAUCCUUUGGGAAAAUCAGAAUUGUUCCAUUAGGAUGAGCUGCUUGCAAGCAUCCUGCCAAACUGGAACAGCCCUUCAAGCUGUACGGAAAUGAAUUCAAACCCUUCACAGAUAAGCAUAGCAAAGGGUAUAAUUUUAUUUCAGCAGAAGGAGAAAGGUCCAGUACAUCAUCUCCUUUUAUUUCAGUGUGUGGUUGUCUUGUCACCCAUGCACAUAUAGAAGUAUGCUUUCUUCACACAUAUUUACUGAGGCACUCAGGCUAAAUGCAAUUGAGCCUGGUGGUUGCUGGGAUGGUUCAUCGUGCAUGUCCAGGUGCCAUCUGUACACAGGGAAGCUGGCAGUGCAGCAAAUGGCUAUUUUCCCUUCUAUAAGAAAUGCAUGUUGGGGUUGCUUUUUAAUGAUCACUUAGGAUCUUAAAGCGUUUGUGCUUUCAUAUUUAUUUUUGUGUUGGCUAAAGUUCACUUAAUUCCCUGUGAACAAUUCUUUUUUUAUUGAAUAAACUAUUCCUUGCAAACCAUA